GGCUCCAACGUUCCCCUCCUGCUUUUUGGUACACUGUACUUCCAGCAGCUUUGUCAUGCCUUCUGCUAACUUUUGGCACACAGUGCUCCUUAAUAGAACAAACUGCUCCUUUGGAAUGGUGCCAAAAAUCCCAGCUGCGCCUCAUCCAGCUGCCAAAAUCUUCACUCCCUGCUGACAAUGGCAAUGAACAUACUUCAGUACACAACUGUGAAAAUUUUUAAAAUGGAAUAAUAUCCAUUUGUAGUUACUAUCAGAAUAUCUUAAGAAGUAAUAAUGCAGUGACUAGAUUAUCAUUCCAAUGAUUUGCAUGAACCCCCUUUUUAAUAUAUAAUUGCUGUGACUCUGCUGUCACAGAAUUUCCAGAGCCGUAGUGCUGCAGAAUUUAGGACCAUGUAUAGCUGCUUCUUGGAUCAGCUUUCCAACCUGAAAGGAAAUGGAGACACAUUUUACAGGCAAUGUAGUCAUAYGCUUCACUUUAACAGCCAGUGCUGGACAUCACUGGAACAGUGUUUUAAAUAAUCCAGCAAGUUCUUUGGUCCAAACAGAUUCACGUCAGCUGUGGACAGCUUUCCAGGUUGCUUCCUAGAACUGUAGAGGCGACAACGCUGGGCACAAAGAGAGGGAUUUGUGUCUUCAUCCCACGGUAUCUAAGG